UACGAAGGGGGCUAGCGUUGUUCGGAAUCACUGGGCGUAAAGGGCGCGUAGGCGGCUUUGUAAGUCGGGGGGUGAAAGCCUGUGGCUCAACCACAGAAUUGCCUUCGAUACUGCAUGGCUUGAGACCGGAAGAGGUAAGUGGAACUGCGAGUGUAGAGGUGAAAUUCGUAGAUAUUCGCAAGAACACCAGUGGCGAAGGCGGCUUCCUGGUCCAGCACCGACGUUCAGGCACGAAAGCGUGGGGAGCAAACAGG
rnacentral:rRNA from 1 species